AUUCUCCAAAGUCUUGUCAUCUUCAAGAAAAUUUGAUAUCUCACAAGGGCGGAAGAACCACAAAAUUUUUAUUUUCUUCGUCUUAUCAGAAUUCUCCCAUAUCUUUAUAAGUUUCCCAAUGUAAGGCUCAGCCUCACAUUCCGCAUAGACAUAAACAGAAUCAUAAAGUUCAUAUUCCACAUCAUCAUAAGUAAAAGAUUCAUAAAAUUGUACAUCCUUCUUUUUCCCACCAAUUCCUCUUUUUUUACCCCACUUGAACCCAAUGCUCUCAAUUUCGUUGGCCUGUACCAUACUCUGAUAUGAUAUGUCUUCCAAUUAUAGUAUUCAGUAGAGUGUUUCAGAAAGGAAACCUAAAAAAUUCAAAGGGGAAAAAGGUGCAAUUAGUUUCCCCCCCUAAAAAUAAGGAAUAGAGCUGUGCUAUUUGCAAUUAACAUGAUCCUGAAAAAUAGCACUGCUUUACAUUAUAGAGACAAGGAAAAAUUAUAGUGGAAGAAGCACAUAUCACUUGUGGUUGGGCACUAUAGAGCAAUCAAACCCAUAAAAAGUAAUGUCGGGAAACAAAUGAACUAACUGUGAAUCGUAGGAGUGUCCAAUCAGUAAGUGCAGUUCCACCUAAAAACCAAAAACCUGAAAGACUAUAAAUGGAAACCAAACUGAACCAACCAAAAUAACAGAAGAACUGAACUUGUUCAGUUUGUUUAGCACAGAAUGCCAUAGCCCAUAAACAAUGUCGUUCCACCUGACUUCCCUAAGGCUCCAGUGCUCAACGCCUCUGCCCAACCACACGCAGUACCUAUUUGCCUAACCUAUACCCCAAUCCAACAAUUCCAGCAGCUUGAAGCUAACAAAUUUCACAAAAUCAAAAUUAAAAAAAUUAACAUUUAAUCAUUUAAUCCCACAGAAAACCACAAAAUUAACAAAAUCUAUCAAUUCCAAAAAGUCAAUUUCAAAACUAAAUCAAUCAACAACAAAUAAGAAAUAUUCAACCAACCAAAGUCUCCAAAACAGAUUACAAGAAAUUUCAAAACUGAAAAAUGACACCCAGGUGCAGAUUGCAGAAGCAAAACUGAAGAACUGGAAAAUGGGUGAGACUGUGAAAGGCAGAUGAGGCUUGAUUCUUGAGGUCGAGGAAGAAAACAGAGAGGAGAGAACGAGGGUGAGGUUGAGUCGCAGAGUUGGGAAUGGGACUUGAGGUUGGGGAUUUUUAUUUUAACACACGGAUAAAAUGGCACAAAUAUACACCAAUGCCCUCGAAACCCUAAUUUCAUUAGCAAUACGUAUUGAUAAAAAUUGGCAUCAAAAAUUUUGGGCAACACUACAAAAACCCUCACUCUCUUUAUUUCAUGGGUACACUUAAAAAAUAGAAGGAAUCCAAAUGAACUUAAAAAAUAAAAAGAAUCCAAAUGAAAAAGCAACUACUUGAUUUCCCCAAACUUCACAUAGCCAUCAAAUCAACUACGGCUUUGAAGAAAAUAUUUUUCUUUUCAAAAAAAAAACCUGAAUCCAAAUGAUUUUCCAGAGAAACAAACAAGGCCGUUUUAAUGCUACCGCAGGAAGAGUUCAGGAACAGUACAAACGUUGUCAACAGAGGGAUGAACUUUGCAAUUUCAAAGAGCGUUGUGAGGCCAUGUCUCCGAAGAAACCCUAGCAAUGAGCGCGUUAAGUACUUUCGUUUCGUGUUCCGGCUAUGUUUCCGGCUUUUCUGCUCUUAACUUGUUUGAUUUGGGAAAGUGAAUCAGUUGUGGACGGCGCCCUAUCUCCCUCCCCACAAACUUGGGGAAAAUAAUUAUAUCAAUUUAAGCAAAUGUUUCAGGAACGGAUUCAUAUCGGUGGCCCGAGGCCCGCCAGG
rnacentral:misc_RNA from 1 species